rnacentral:lncRNA from 1 species
UGAAACGAUACGAUGAUUUUUGUUAUGUGCACUACAUUAUUUGUUUGGCAUCAACAUGAAAUAGCUUUGCUAUAUCGAAAUCGUCGAGGAAAUCUUUUAUUUCCUUUAAUUGAAAAACGCUAAUUGAAGAAUUGCUAGAACCAAAUAUAGAUACUGGAACUUUUCAUGUUUAUCAUGUUGGGACGUGUUGCACCAUCCACGACUUGUCACGGCGCAAAUUUUGAGAGCUCCCUUGUAGGCGUUUCAGUUUUACAUCACAGUCGAAGAGGGUGUGUGAA